rnacentral:tmRNA from 1 species
GGGGGCGUACCGGGUUCGACGGGGAACAGAGCGGUUCAGGGGUUGCGUGCCGAGCUAACCCUCGUAAAAAGACAGCGACAGCUGCCAACGACAACCUCGCUUUCGCGGCUUAAUUGACCGCGACGUCUCCCACCACGGCCCGGUCCACGGCAGGGUGGGAGGCGACGCUAAAGUGGACCGAACGACGCGGUUGGCUCCGUACCGCGUCCGGAUCGUCGAAACGGAGCUGGCGCCGGCGCCAGGCUGCCUUCUGCCAAGCGCCGGGGCGAUGACCUGAAACGAAGGCUACGCACGUAGAUAUCCCUGGGACGCGUUUCUCGGACGUGGGUUCGAUUCCCACCGCCUCCACCA